UACGGGGGGAGCAAGCGUUGUUCGGAUUUACUGGGCGUAAAGCGCGCGUAGGCGGCCCUGUAAGUCCGUUGUGAAAGUCAAAGGCUCAACCUUUGAAAGCCGAUGGAUACUGCAGGGCUAGAGUCCGGAAGAGGCGAGUGGAAUUCCUGGUGUAGCGGUGGAAUGCGCAGAUAUCAGGAGGAACACCAAUAGCGAAGGCAGCUCGCUGGGACGGUACUGACGCUAAGGCGCGAAAGCGUGGGGAGCGAACAGG
rnacentral:rRNA from 1 species